rnacentral:rRNA from 1 species
AGAGUUUGAUCAUGGCUCAGGACGAACGCUGGCGGCGCGCUUAACACAUGCAAGUCGAGCGAGAACCAGGGCUUCGGCCCUGGGGACAGCGGCGAACGGGUGAGUAACACGUGGAUAACCUGCCCUCGGCACCGGGAUAGCCCGGGGAAACCCGGAUUAAUACCGGAUGGCCCCUCCGGCUUUCGAGCCGGUCGGAAAAGGUAGCUUCGGCCUCCGGCCGAGGAUGGGUCCGCGGCGGAUUAGCUUGUUGGUGGGGUAACGGCCUACCAAGGUUCCGAUCCGUAGCUGGUCUGAGAGGACGAUCAGCCACACUGGGACUGAGACACGACCCAGACUCCUACGGGAGGCAGCAGUGGGGAAUCUUGCGCAAUGGGCGAAAGCCUGACGCAGCGACGCUGCGUGAGGGAGGAAGGCCUUCGGGUUGUAAACUUCUUUCAGGAGGGACGAAGCUACUCGGGUGAAUAGCCCAGAGGGUGACGGUACCUCUAGAAGAAGCCCCGGCUAACUACGUGCCAGCAGCCGCGGUAAUACGUAGGGGGCAAGCGUUGUCUGGAUUUACUGGGCGUAAAGAGCGUGUAGGCGGCCGAACAGGUCUGUUGUGAAAACUGGAGGCUUAACCUCCAGACGUCGACGGAAACUCGUGCGGCUAGAGUCUCGGAAGAGGAGAGUGGAAUUUCUGGUGUAGCGGUGAAAUGCGCAGAUAUCAGGAAGAACACCAAUGGCGAAUGGCAGCUCUCUGGGACGGUACUGACGCUGAGACGCGAAAGCGUGGGGAGCGAACAGGAUUAGAUACUCUGGUAGUCCACGCCGUAACGAUGGGUGCUAGGUGUGGGAGGUGUCGACUUCUUUCCGUGCCGUAGCUAACGCAUUAAGCAUCUCGCUUGGGGAGUACGGUGCAAGGCUAAACUCAAGGAAUUG